UGCUGCAUGGCUGUCGUCAGCUCGUGUCGUGAGAUGUUGGGUUAAGUCCCGCAACGAGCGCAACCCUUGCCAUUAGUUGCUACGAAAGGGCACUCUAAUGGGACUGCCGGUGACAAACCGGAGGAAGGUGGGGAUGACGUCAAGUCCUCAUGGCCCUUAUAGGUGGGGCUACACACGUCAUACAAUGGCCGGUACAGAGGGUAGCCGACCCGCGAGGGGGAGCCAAUCCCACAAAGCCGGUCGUAGUCCGGAUCGCAGUCUGCAACUCGACUGCGUGAAGUCGGAAUCGCUAGUAAUCGCGGAUCAGCAUGUCGCGGUGAAUACGUUCCCGGGUCUU
rnacentral:rRNA from 1 species